CCUACGGGGGGCUGCAGUCGAGAAUAUUCCGCAAUGGGCGAAAGCCUGACGGAGCGACGCCGCGUGAUUGAUGAAGUCCCUCUGGGACGUAAAGAUCUUUUGUCGGGGAAGAAAUUAUUGACGGUACCCGAAGAAUAAGAGGCUCCUAAUCUCGUGCCAGCAGGAGCGGUAAUACGAGAGCCUCGAGCGUUAUCCGGAAUCAUUGGGCGUAAAGGGUGCGUAGGUUGUUCUGUUAGUCUUUUGUUAAAUUCUGGGGCUCAACCCUAGAGAAGCAGGAGAUACGGCAGAACUUGAAAGUGCGAGAGGUUUACGGAACUCAUGGUGUAGGGGUGAAAUCCGUUGAUAUCAUGGGGAACACCAAAAGCGAAAGCAGUAAACUGGCGCAUGUUUGACACUUAAGCACGAAAGCGUGGGUAGCGAAUGGGCUUAGAUACCCGGGUAGUC
rnacentral:rRNA from 1 species